GCAGAGCAGACACAAGGCAGGAGACACUGCACCAUGGAGACAGGGUCCCAGCUUCUCUGUGGGCUCCUGAUGCUCCUGGUCCCAGGUUCUAGGGGGGAAAUUGUGCUGAGCCAGUCUCCAGUCUCAGUGUCUGUGACCCCAGGAGAGAGAGUCACCAUCAGCUGCAAGGCCAGUCAGAGUCUCAAACACAGAGUUCCGGCCAGGUUCAGUGGCAGUGGGGCUGAGAAGGACUUCACCCUCACCAUCAGCAGUGUGGAGGCUGACGAUGGGGCCUAUUAUUACUGUUGGCAAGGAACUUCUUUUCCUCCCACAGUGCUACAGCCCCGAACAAAAACCUCCCCAGCCCAGGCUGGCUGCUCAGGGAGGCCUCCUCUGCUUCCUCUCCUCCACCAGCUGCUGGGCUGCCUGCUCAGGUUUACCUUAGCGUAG